UACGUAGGGUCCGAGCGUUAUCCGGAAUUAUUGGGCGUAAAGAGCUCGUAGGCGGUUUGUCGCGUCUGCUGUGAAAACUCGGGGCUCAACUCCGAGCUUGCAGUCGAUACGGGCAGGCUAGAGUUCGGCAGGGGAGACUGGAAUUCCUGGUGUAGCGGUGAAAUGCGCAGAUAUCAGGAGGAACACCGGUGGCGAAGGCGGGUCUCUGGGCCGAUACUGACGCUGAGGAGCGAAAGCGUGGGGAGCGAACAGG
rnacentral:rRNA from 1 species